rnacentral:rRNA from 1 species
GACGAACGCUGGCGGCGUGCCUAACACAUGCAAGUCAACUUGACGGAAGGAGCAAUCUGACCGUAGAGUGGCGCAAGGGUGCGUAACGCGUAAGUAACUUGCCCCAAGGUAAGGAAUAACGUCGAGAAAUCGGCGCUAAUACCUCAUAAUGCAGCGGAUCCGCAUGGAUAUGUUGUUAAAGGUUUACCGCCUUGGGAUAGGCUUGCGUCUGAUUAGCUAGUUGGUGUGGUAACGGCACACCAAGGCUACGAUCAGUAACUGGUCUGAGAGGAUGAUCAGUCACACUGGAACUGAGACACGGUCCAGACUCCUACGGGAGGCAGCAGUGAGGAAUAUUGGGCAAUGCUCGAAAGAGUGACCCAGCAACGCCGCGUGGAGGAUGAAGGUAUUCUAUAUCGUAAACUCCUGUGAGAGCAGACGAAAGACAGAUUAUAAUCUGGAUGACUGUAUGCUCAGAGGAAGCCCCGGCUAACUACGUGCCAG